rnacentral:rRNA from 1 species
UGGGGAAUAUUGGACAAUGGGCGCAAGCCUGAUCCAGCCAUGCCGCGUGAGUGAUGAAGGCCCUAGGGUUGUAAAGCUCUUUCACCGGUGAAGACAAUGACGGUAACCGGAGAAGAAGCCCCGGCUAACUUCGUGCCAGCAGCCGCGGUAAUACGAAGGGGGCUAGCGUUGUUCGGAUUUACUGGGCGUAGAGCGCACGUAGGCGGACUAUUAAGUCAGGGGUGAAAUCCCGGGGCUCAACCCCGGAACUGCCUUUGAUACUGGUAGUCUUGAGUUCGAGAGAGGUGAGUGGAAUUCCGAGUGUAGAGGUGAAAUUCGUAGAUAUUCGGAGGAACACCAGUGGCGAAGGCGGCUCACUGGCUCGAUACUGACGCUGAGGUGCGAAAGCGUGGGGAGCAAACAGG